rnacentral:rRNA from 1 species
AGCCAUGCAUGUCUAAGUAUAAGCAAUUAUACAGCGAAACUGCGAAUGGCUCAUUAUAUAAGUUAUCGUUUAUUUGAUAGUACCUUACUACUUGGAUAACCGUGGUAAUUCUAGAGCUAAUACAUGCUAAAAAUCCCGACUUCGGAAGGGAUGUAUUUAUUAGAUUCAAAACCAAUGCCCUCUGGGCUCCUUGGUGAUUCAUAAUAACUUUUCGAAUCGCAUGGCCUUGCGCCGGCGAUGGUUCAUUCAAAUUUCUUCCCUAUCAACUUUCGAUGUUUGGGUAUUGGCCAAACAUGGUCGCAACGGGUAACGGAGGGUUAGGGCUCGACCCCGGAGAAGGAGCCUGAGAAACGGCUACUACAUCCAAGGAAGGCAGCAGGCGCGCAAAUUACCCAAUCCCGAUACGGGGAGGUAGUGACAAUAAAUACUGAUACAGGGCUCUUUUGGGUCUUGUAAUUGGAAUGAGUACAAUUUAAAUCCCUUAACGAGGAACAAUUGGAGGGCAAGUCUGGUGCCAGCAGCCGCGGUAAUUCCAGCUCCAAUAGCGUAUAUUAAAGUUGUUGUGGUUAAAAAGCUCGUAGUUGAACCUUGGGCCUGGCUGGCCGGUCCGCCUCACCGCGUGUACUGGUCCGGCCGGGCCUUUCCCUCUGUGGAACCUCAUGCCCUUCACUGGGUGUGGCGGGGAAACAGGACUUUUACUUUGAAAAAAUUAGAGUGCUCCAGGCAGGCCUAUGCUCGAAUACAUUAGCAUGGAAUAAUGAAAUAGGACGUGUGGUUCUAUUUUGUUGGUUUCUAGGACCGCCGUAAUGAUUAAUAGGGACAGUCGGGGGCAUCAGUAUUCAAUUGUCAGAGGUGAAAUUCUUGGAUUUAUUGAAGACUAACUACUGCGAAAGCAUUUGCCAAGGAUGUUUUCAUUAAUCAG